ACAUGCUGGUAUAUGUCAGACUCUUAGCAUCACUCUCAUUUCAUACUGCUGUUGAUGAUGUGAAUUUUGGAAAUAUUCUCCCCUAUUGGGUCUUUCUCCAUGACAGAUGAUGUCCUUUGGCUUCGGUUUUUUGCCUAAGAACUGUAAGUGGUGCUUGCUAGCCCUACUAAGAAUCCUGCCAUUGUUGCAAAUUUCAGAAAAAAGGCUGGAGUGCAGUGGUGCACACGCCUCACACUGUGACACAGCGGGAGAGCCCAGAGCGACAGCUGUUGGAAUGACUGCACUCUUCCUGCUCAAGUCUGACCUUUCCAAGCCUUUGUCCUAUGUCUGGAGACUUCUUGGAAGCUGGAGCACACAAAUAGCUACAGCAAACUUGAGGAAUGGGCAUGAAUAGACUGGCUUCGGGGAACCUGCCAGCUUGGCCGUGUGGCCAAGGUAAUAGGCAAGCCAAGGCAGAGCUAGAGCUCAGAGCUGGAGGGGAAAUUAAAGCAGCAAAUGUAGAAACAUUAAGCCUGAAGAGGCGACGACGUUGAAUUCUAAAAUGCAGGCCAAAGCUCAGACUGCAAGCUGUCUGGCUGCUCCGGGUGUGCCCAGAAGUCAAAGUCCAGCAGGGGCAAAGGUGGAGGUGUGGUCCUGCACGUGGGGUGUUGGGGGGAUGUGGAAGAGGAGGUGCUUUAAGAUCCAGAGAUUCCAGCUGCCCUGGUGCACCCUUGGAAGAAUAAAAGGCUAGGAACUGGACAAGUCAGGCUCGAGUCCAAGCUGCCUGAGGAAUCGGGGAAAGAAUGGAGCUCAGAGUGGGAGGUCAGGGCAGUAUUUAAAAAUCCAGGAUAGCAGCAAAGCUGGCGGUGGCCCCUGACUCUGGUAAGGGCAGCCUGCAGCACCAUGCCAAGGGGGGCCUGACUGAUCAUGCCCUGCAUUUGCAAACAAGGAUUAGUAGGGUAUGAGUAGGAUUCUGCUGGUGCCUGGGAAGGCAGUGCCAUCUACAACUUUACAAAGUUUUAACAAAGGCCUGAAGGACACAACCUUCCCCAAAGUCCUGACGUCGCUGUUUGCUGGCAACAAAUAGAGUCAAAAGAAGAGAGGCACAGAAUGUGCCAGGGGUGUGCUGCGUACAGCCCCGAUGACCACAAGGCCUUCUUGGGUCAAGUUCUGCCAUCUCUGGUUAAGAUGGGCUCACCCUCUAGGACCCUGAUUGAGUCCUCGGACCACCAAGAGUGCCCCACCAAGAGCCUCCCUCUUCUGGUGACUCGUGCCUGCUUCCCGUGGAGAGCUCCAGAAGGGAGGAAACUGUGAGGAGGUGGAGAACGUGGCAGGGAUCCUAACUUUCUUACUGAAGGAAGUUCUUCACAAGUACCCAUCUGCCUUCAGGGAAGAAAACAUAACUCAUUUUGGUCUUUCAAAUUCAGUUCUCAAAACCAAAUCCUGUUGUCAGCAAUCUGUGUCCCAACGCCUUCUUCAGCAACAGCAUUUUCCCUGUGGAAUUAGUUUCCAAUGUUCUUUCUUAAAUAAACCACUGAAGAUUAAAAGGAAUCCAGAUACCCACCACAUUUUGUUUCCUUAAUGAGUAAUUAUCACAUUUCUUUGGCUACUUAAAUGCAUUCUCUGAGUCAGGUAAAGGAGAUCGUAAUAGUUAAUCAACAAGAAGUAAUUCUUGGGUACUUAACAAUAGUCUAAGCACUUAAUCAUACUUAAAAUUGACUAUUAAUGAACCUUAUAAACCAUUUUGCAAUUCUGAAAGUGAAUUUCUCUGCAGGCUUAGAGAUUACUAAGCCAUUUAGAUCUUACCAAACAAAUAUUAUUCAUGCUUUAAUUCCUGGGAAAAGAAAUUUAGAAAAUGAGGUUAAUGUUCAGUUGUCCUUUCCUGAGUUUAACAAUUAUAUAUUCCAUCUGGGAUGCUCUGAACUCAGGUUAAACAUUCUUCAAGUUAUUCCCACAUUUUUCAAGUUAUUCCCACGUUAGUGACCUACUUUAUUAGUAUUAUUACUAAAGAAAAGGGCUGGGUGCGGUGGCCCACAUCUGUAAUCCCAGCACUUUGGGAGGCUGAAGCAGGAGGAUCACUUGAGCUUGGGAGUUCAAGACCAGCCUGAGAGGGAGACUCCGUCUCUAC
rnacentral:lncRNA from 1 species